CCCGCCCCGGCCCCCGCCAGCCCCCGCCUGCCAACUUAGAGCCCCUGCUGCGUGCGGGUCUGCUGGGGGCCGAGGCGGCGGUGGCUGGCCGGGGGUGAGGGACCGGGUGGGGCCAGGAUGGCUGCGGGCUGGGGGCCACGCCUGCUUGGCCCCCGCCCUCCUGGUUCUGUGCUUGUAUGCGGCUGCCUUGGGGGCUCAGCGCUGGGGUGGCGAAGGAUGGGGGCCUACGAUGGAUGGAUGGGCUGGCAGGUGUAAGGGGGCCUGCAGCAGCUGAGCUUGGGAUCCGACCAGAGGCUGUGUGCGGCCACCCGCGCGGUCCAGCCCAGGGCCACGGCUCAUCUAUGUGGAGAGGUUCACCCUCACCUAGGGUGUCUGUGGGCACCUCUUCUCUGCUGCCAAGGGCACUGGUUCCGAUCUGGUGGGCACAGACCCACCCCCCAGACAGAAUAUGGCCUGUGCCCACUGCUCACCAGUCGCCACCCUGGGCUGCUUCGUGAGGGCCCUUGGACGCACCCGGCUGCCCAUCCAGGCACGUGCCUCUGAGCCGGCGGGGGUCUGCUGGCGCUUCAGCCGAAGGGCUUCCGGGUGCAGGGGCGCCAGCUGCAGCUCGGCUCGCCCUGCCGCCCCGGGCCCUCGCCCGGAGGCCUGGGGGCAGCUGCGGUGCUGAAUGCUGCUCUGUUCUGGUCUUGCUUCUGGAACCAACUCGCUCACCCGAGACGCGCGCCGCCGGCAGCAGGGCUCCGACUGCACGUCCACCUCCGAGGAGGAGUGCGGCUCCCGCCACGGCUCCCCUAAGCACGUUCGCCCCCACGCCUCAGCAGCCACGCAGACUCCGCGGGCUGGCGGCUCCGGCCGGGCGCGGCCCAGGGCCCCUGGCCUUCGGGACACGGAUGACGAGGAUGAAGAGCCUGAUGCCUACGGUUUCAUUGUGCAGACGGCCGAGAUUGCGGAGAUUGCCAGGCGGCCACGCACAGACACGCACACGCCAGGAGCACAUCCACGCUCACGGCAGGCCCAGGCCCGCCCAGGGAGGG
rnacentral:lncRNA from 1 species